rnacentral:rRNA from 1 species
AUGGAAGGGCCAUCGCUCAACGGAUAAAAGGUACUCCGGGGAUAACAGGCUGAUACCGCCCAAGAGUUCAUAUCGACGGCGGUGUUUGGCACCUCGAUGUCGGCUCAUCACAUCCUGGGGCUGAAGUAGGUCCCAAGGGUAUGGCUGUUCGCCAUUUAAAGUGGUACGCGAGCUGGGUUUAGAACGUCGUGAGACAGUUCGGUCCCUAUCUGCCGUGGGCGCUGGAGAACUGAGGGGGGCUGCUCCUAGUACGAGAGGACCGGAGUGGACGCAUCACUGGUGUUCGGGUUGUCAUGCCAAUGGCACUGCCCGGUAGCUAAAUGCGGAAGAGAUAAGUGCUGAAAGCAUCUAAGCACGAAACUUGCCCCG